UGCAAGUCGAGCGAUGAAGCACCUUCGGGUGUGAAUUAGCGGCGAACGGGUGAGGAACACGUGAAGAAUCUGCCUUCAACUCUGGGAUAACUCCGGGAAACCGGGGCUAAUACCGGAUAUGAGCCUUGAUCGCAUGAUCGGGGCUGGAAAGUUUUUCGGUUGAAGAUGACUUCGCGGCCUAUCAGCUUGUUGGUGAGGUAAUGGCUCACCAAGGCGACGACGGGUAGCCGGCCUGAGAGGGCGACCGGCCACACUGGGACUGAGACACGGCCCAGACUCCUACGGGAGGCAGCAGUGGGGAAUAUUGGGCAAUGGAGGAAACUCUGACCCAGCGACGCCGCGUGAGGGAUGAAGGCCUUCGGGUUGUAAACCUCUUUCAGUAGGGAAGAAGCGAAAGUGACGGUACCUACAGAAGAAGCACCGGCUAACUAUGUGCCAGCAGCCGCGGUAAUACAUAGGGUGCAAGCGUUGUCCGGAAUUAUUGGGCGUAAAGAGCUCGUAGGUGGUUCGAUACGUCGGAUGUGAAAAUCAGGGGCUCAACCCCUGACCUGCAUCCGAUACGGUCGAGCUAGAGUUUGGUAGGGGAGACUGGAAUUCCUGGUGUAGCGGUGGAAUGCGCAGAUAUCAGGAGGAACACCGAUGGCGAAGGCAGGUCUCUGGGCCAAUACUGACACUGAGGAGCGAAAGCGUGGGGAGCGAACAGGAUUAGAUACCCUGGUAGUCCACGCCGUAAACGGUGGGCGCUAGUUGUGCGAACCUUCCACGGUUUGUGCGACGCAGCUAACGCAUUAAGCGCCCCGCCUGGGGAGUACGAUCGCAAGAUUAAAACUCAAAGGAAUUGACGGGGCCCCGCACAAGCAGCGGAGCAUGCGGCUUAAUUCGACGCANCGCGAAGAACCUUACCA
rnacentral:rRNA from 1 species